CUCCUCUCAUCUUCAAAGGUUUAAACUUGCUAUUCUAUCCUCUACUUACAUAUUUACGUACACACUCGCACGCUCACACAUGAUUCAAGUAACUCAAAAGCAGUAGUGAGUUGGAUUGAAUUUUCUAUAACUUGGACAAAGGUAACGGCUUUUUUAUGGAUCGUGAGGUAGUUAUAGUCAUGGUUCCUUUUCCAAUUCAAGGCCAUCUCAAUCAGCUUCUUCAACUAGCCUGUUUACUCUCCUCAACAUAUGAUCUUCCUGUCUAUUAUGUUGUCUCAGCCACACAUAACCAACAAGCUCGGUUCCAUGACAUUCCGACUCCUGAAUUAGCCUUACCUCCACCUGACUUUAAUGCCUUGAGCAAAAUUAGCCAUUAUGGGAUGUAACUUUGCUUCUUCGCGAGCCCAGUACUUCCUUUUUACGUGAUAUCUCCUCAAAAUCAAGACGACUCAUUGUUGUUCAUGACUUUUUUAUGUCAUAUAGUGUUCAGGAUGUUUCUUCCUUGCUCAAUGCUGAAUCCUAUAGAUUUAAUUGCAUUUCAGCUUUCACUUUGUACUGUUCUUCAUACUUAUUUAGUGGAAUGUUUGUCCAACUUGGAGAAAAAUUGCUUAAAAAGCUACCGUCCCUUGAAGGAGCGAUGCCUGAUGAAGUCAAGAACUUUAUAGCUCUUCAGAGUCCAUAUAUGGAUAUUAGAACAGGUGAUAUCCAUAAUACAAGUAAAAUAAUUGAACAUGGGUUUCUUGAUUUGCUGGCACAAGUAGAAAGUAAACAACAAUGGGCAAUCAAUCCAAUUCUGCCAACUAAACUCAAUCAUAUCUCGAAUAGGAACAAUAUAUGUUUGGAAUGGCUAGAAAAACAACCUCCGAGAUCAGUUCUUUAUAUAUCAUUUGGAACAUCAACUACAUUUUCCGAUGGAGAGGUCAUGGAGCUCGUGAUUGGAUUAGAACAAAGCAAACAGAAGUUCAUAUGGGUGUUGAGAGAAGCCGAUAGAGUAGAUAUCUUUACUGGGGAAGCUAGAAAACAUGUGUUUCCUGAAGGAUUUGAGGCAAGAGUAAAAGGGGUUGGGUUACUGGUAAGAGAAUGGCCGCCACAACCCGAAAUCUUGCCUCAUUCGUCCACAGGUGGGUUCAUGAGUCAUUGCGGAUGGAAUUCUUGCAUAGAGAGCAUUACUAUGGGGGUGCCUAUAGCUGCUUGGCCUAUGCACUCUGAUCAACCGGGAAAUAGUUUCUUGGUGAUGGAAAUAUUGAAAAUAGGCCUGUUUGUGAGGGAGUGGGAGAAACUUGAGGAGCUAGUAAGUGCAUCCACUAUUGAGAAUGUCGUGAGGAAGUUGAUGGCAUUUGAAGACGGUGAUGCAAUUAGGAAAAGAGCAGAAGAAUUGGGAGAAGCUGUAAGGCGUUCCACAGAAAAAGGAGGUGCUUCUCGAAUGGUUUUGGACUCUUUAAUCGCACAUCACAAGAUAAGAGUAGCUUUUCACCAGAAAUGUAUUUCUUUGAUAUUAAAAAGUUCAGUAUCUGAAACUUUUUAUGGCUAUCACUUAUCAGUGAGAUUAUUGUUUGUACUUCUCUCUUAAUGAUGUUGUUUACAUUUCUCA